AAGAUUAACUUAAUAGGCUUCUAACCUAAAUAAUAAUGAAAUAUCAUUUAAUCUUU
rnacentral:tRNA from 1 species